AUGGCUCAGGAUGAACGCUGGCGGCGUGCUUAACACAUGCAAGUCGAACGAAGAUGCCGGAGUGCUUGCACUUUGGCAGACUGAGUGGCGGACGGGUGAGUAACGCGUGGGUAACCUGCCUUAUACAGGGGGAUAACAGUUGGAAACGACUGCUAAUACCGCAUAAGCGCACGGUAUCGCAUGAUACAGUGUGAAAAACUCCGGUGGUAUAAGAUGGACCCGCGUCUGAUUAGCUUGUUGGUGGUGUAAUGGACUACCAAGGCGACGAUCAGUAGCUGGUUUGAGAGGAUGAUCAGCCACAAUGGGACUGAGACACGGCCCAUACUCCUACGGGAGGCAGCAGUAGGGAAUUUUGCGCAAUGGGCGAAAGCCUGACGCAGCAACGCCGCGUGUGUGAUGACGCCCUUCGGGGUGUAAAACACUGUCAGUAGGGACGAAUUUUGACGGUACCUACAGAGGAAGCACCGGCUAACUCCGUG
rnacentral:rRNA from 1 species